GCCUCAGCGAGGCGCCCCGGCCGUUCCCCGAUCGCUCCAGCUGGUAGAGGAGGCGAGUGUUCGUCGCCUUGCCGCAGGUUCGAAUCCUGCUCGGGGAGCC
rnacentral:tRNA from 1 species